AGCCCAGCAACUACUAUCACUACAUCCUCGUGGUACCGGCCGGAAACUACGAGCAACCUUAGGGAAGAUCUGGUAAACCCUGGUGGGAACUUUGAUCGUAUGCUGAAAGGGAAGG
rnacentral:ribozyme from 1 species